UACGUAGGGCGCAAGCGUUAUCCGGAAUUAUUGGGCGUAAAGAGCUCGUAGGCGGUUUGUCGCGUCUGCUGUGAAAGACCGGGGCUCAACCUGGGAAUGGCAUUGGAAACUGGCGAGCUAGAGUGUGGCAGAGGGGGGUGGAAUUCCGCGUGUAGCAGUGAAAUGCGUAGAGAUGCGGAGGAACACCGAUGGCGAAGGCAGCCCCCUGGGCUGACACUGACGCUCAGGCACGAAAGCGUGGGGAGCAAACAGG
rnacentral:rRNA from 1 species